rnacentral:rRNA from 1 species
AACGAACGCUGGCGGCAGGCUUAACACAUGCAAGUCGAACGGGCACCUUCGGGUGUCAGUGGCAGACGGGUGAGUAACGCGUGGGAACGUACCCUUCGGUUCGGAAUAACCCAGGGAAACUUGGGCUAACACCGGAUACGUCCGCAAGGAGAAAGAUUUAUCGCCGAAGGAUCGGCCCGCGUCGGAUUAGCUAGUUGGUGGGGUAAUGGCCCACCAAGGCGACGAUCCGUAGCUGGUCUGAGAGGAUGAUCAGCCACACUGGGACUGAGACACGGCCCAGACUCCUACGGGAGGCAGCAGUGGGGAAUAUUGGACAAUGGGCGAAAGCCUGAUCCAGCCAUGCCGCGUGAGUGAAGAAGGCCUUAGGGUUGUAAAGCUCUUUCAGCGGGAAGAUAAUGACGGUACCCGCAGAAGAAGUCCCGGCUAACUUCGUGCCAGCAGCCGCGGUAAC